CCCACAGAAUUCAGAAUGAAAACCUUCCAAAACAUUCCUCCGCCCCCCACCCAAUUCCCACCAAAACACAGUGAGACAAAACCUUGGAUUCCCGAUCAAGUUACCAGCCCUCAGAUAAUCAAUUCUCAGUCCAUCAAGGGAGAGAGGAGUCUCUUUUGUACCAUAGACUCCCCCAGGAAACACAAUUGCCACCUCUUGUGUUUCCGCGUCACACACGGCACCACCUGGAGAAAAUCUGCCAUCGUGACAUCCUCCUUCCAUGUACAGUGCUCUCAGCACCGUGCAUGAUGGAUCGAGACUGCUCACAGGGUUCCUUUGAAGGAUGCUCUGCCAAGGAGCAAAGAACAACAGUUUCUCUUUUUGGGACAACAGUGCCCCCCAUUUUCUCCUCCCCUGGGGCCAAGGGUCUCGAGAACAGAGAUCUUCUUCUUCCCUGAAGACUGAGGGCACCACCACACCCUCCUCAUCUUCCUCUCCACUCCUGCCACUCCCUUGGCAUCACUGCAGCAGGUCACUCACACUCCAGCCCUGGCAGUCACUGCAGCUGGUCGCUCCCUUGGCUCAAGCCAUUACAUCCCCCUAAAAUGCAGUCUGUGUUGCAGGAGGAAUUGCUUCCGUCUAUGGCUAUACAAGAAAAGUCCAGCCAAAAAAGACUAAGCCUGCCUAUCUUUGUCUUCAUUCUCUUAAUUUUCUCUUGAACAUUUCUAGUGAAGGCAAGUUUUCAGCAGCUCUAAGUGUUUACAAACUAAUGAGUAAGUAAAUAAACUCAGCAUUAAUGUGCUUUUUAUUUCCAAAGUGAAUUGGUGCUUUUUUGUCUGCUGAAGAGAAGAAAAUGUCUUCCCAUGGUGUUCUGAGAUCUCAUCAUGGGAAGCAGUGCCACAGCUGACUCUUGCUGUAGCAUUAGUUUAGGUUGGAUAUUAGGAAAAAGUUCUUUAUGGAAAGGGUUGUCCAGCCCUGGAACAGACUGCCCAAGGCAGUGGUGGCACCCCCAUCUCAGGGUGGGGAUUUAAAAGCUGUGUGGAUGUGGCACUUGAGGACAUGAAUUAGUGGUGGAAUUGGUUCCAACCCAAAUAAUUCUAUGAUUUUACAUUUAGCAGAGAAUGUUUACCAUUAGACCUGGAAUCUCAGACAUUCCCACAGCAGUAAUCCAGAUGGAGAUGUGUAGUUAGCAGCAUGAGUAGGGAAGACCUCUGAGGAGGAGAAGAUGGUCUUUAGAAUCAUGGUAUUUGAAACUUUGGAGACUUAGACUUGGAUGUUUCUUUGAUUGCCAGCUCACGGAAACAUUAUCUUUGGGAUCUGUUUCACUGUUUUCAGAGUAAUAGUAUGAGAGAAAAAAAAAAAAAAAAAACAGAAAGAAAGCAAGAAAACAGAACACUGCUAGAGAACAAAAUCUGCUCUGUAUGAUUGCUUAACUUUGCUAACUUGUGGCAGCUUGAGUAUUUCCCUUAAUCAGAGAGAGCUGAUAGGAAUGGACAAGAAAAACCAGACCCUUCCAUAUCUGUGGGCAUGAACAUUGCUGUCCACAAAUAAGUGUUUAGGUUAAGACUACCCAGAGACAAGCAGCGUUGGAUAAGAAGUCAAAGAAAUACCAAAAACAUCUCCUUGGUACUGGAAGCAAAAGUGUCUUGAGAAGGAAAAUGGAAUAGCAUUCUACUAAUAGUAAUUUGCAUGUUAGUUCAUUUACUUGUACUAAAAACGAUGCCAGUCACGUGCAGCCCUGCCUCCCUGGGAGGAUGGAGCACUGGGGGGAGUUGGGGUGUGGUAAUUAGCCAAGUUUUCCUGGGUAUCCAGACUGAUCCCAUUGCUCCGUGUUCUCCUUCUGCUUCUAGGAUGGUGCAUCGAUUUAGACAACUGGAUGCAAAGCUCUCUGAUUUGAAAGGCCUUCUGAAAGAGAUUUCCAGUAAAAUUAAAUGAGUGCAGCUGAAAUUCAAGAGCAGCUACUGGAGCAGGGUACCAGUUCAUGAAGAAAAAUUGCUCGGAGCUGGCAGUAACCCCCAAGCAGAUGGUAACGGAGGCAUCAGAGUAUCAAUGUCUCGGCAGAAGUCAGCAGGAUUUUCUUGCUAUUUUUAUUUUUGUUGAUCAAACAGCCCUUUCUGCUUGUUGCAAGGUUGUGGUGAAACGGGAGAUGAUUGCUUAUCUCCUGACAUGAUUCCUGCAUUCCCCAAACUCUUCUCAUCUGCCCUUAUGUCCACUGGCAGCAAUUAGUCCUUGUAAGCUGCUGUUGCAAAACACUCCUAUUUCCAAGAGUUCUGCUGCUGUUGCCAAAAUCCCUUUGCUUUUACACUUCACUCAAAGGGACCCGUGCAUGGGUUUCCUUCAAGCACUAAUUGCGCAUCUGAAUGAAUCCAUCUCCCUUCCUGUUCUGUCCUGCAGUAGCUGGAUCUUGCUUGUUCCUUGCACGGGCUGUCUGUCAGACCUGCUGGGGUCUGGAAUGCUGGCAUGCCAGAAAGCAAUGGAUUUCAGCAUCAUCCCCCCAAGGAAAGCCUUUGGUCCAGCCCUUCAUCCCUAUUUCAGACUGUACAGGAACAUUGUGGACUUGUUCCCCCUCUACCUGGAGCCUUUCAGCAGUGCAGAAGUUCAGCUAUUACAGCCCUGCAUGGGAGAGACAUUAAUUCAUCUAGGAAAUGUUUCUAUAGGCUUUGUGGGCAAUCCUUGCUUGGUUUCAUUGAUGAAAAUUUGUAUUCUGGGAAUGUUUGAAUUCAUUUGACUUUUCCAAUGUGUGUUUGCUGAUGUUUGCAGCUGGAAAUGGAGAAGAGAUUGUUGGAACCUUUAAAUAGAGCAGUGCUUGAUACGGUGAGGUGGCGCUUUGUGCUUUCUGUCUAAAAUAGCAGCUGAAUUCUGUCACAUUUUGUUUGGUAUAACUGAGAGCACAGCCAACUGAAAGCACUACAAAUAGCAUUUAUUUACAUGGCAAAGCAUUGUAUCAACCUUCCUUUCCAGUGUCCAGGAAUCAUGGAAUCAUAGACUCACCAGAGGAAAGGACCUGCCAGGAUGAUGGAGUCCAAGCCCUGGCCCUGCACAGACACCCCAACAAUCCCAGCCUGUGCAUCCCUGAGAGCAUUGUUCAAAUGUUCCUUGGGCUCUGUCAGCCUGGGGCUGUGCCCAUUCCCUGGGGGAGUCUGCUCAGUGCCCCAGCACCAUCUGGGAGAAGAACCUUUUCCUAAAAUCCCACCUGACCCUGCCCUGACACAGCUCCAGCCGCUCCCUCAGGUGCUGUCCCUGUCACAGAGAGCAGAGAUUGGAGAUGUCCUCUGGGAGGAAGCUGCCAGCCAUGCUGAGACCUGCUCCCUCUCUCUCCUCCUCUUCUCCAAGCUGACCAAGCCAAUUGACUUUAGCCGUUCCUCAUACAGCUUCCCCUCCUGUCCCCUCAUCAUCUUCACUCCCCUCUUUGAAUACUCUCUGCAGGCUUUGUAUCCUUAUGAUAUGUUCAGAGAGGUUGCUGCUCUUUUCUCCCUGCAUCUCAUGACCCAGCUGUACUGUAUGCUGUGCAUGACACCAUCCUGGGGGCUCCAGCACUAACAAUAGCAGUGGUAUUUGUUUACAUGUGGAAACAUUUCCUGCUGAAAAGUAAAGGGCUUUCACUGAUUCACACGGCAGUUAGCUUGCACCAUAAAUUCUUGAGAUAAGAUUCCUUUCUGGAAGUUAUUUUUCCCAUAGAAUUUGUCUGCCUUGGAUGUGAAAAUUGUGCUAUUUGUUCACUCCCUUCCUAUAUAAAACCUGUGGAAUCCUUUAAACCCUUCAGGGAAAUCCCAAGGACCUUGCCUUGUAAGAAUAUAGCCUAGAGUCUCCACCUAGGCUUAAAGAGAAGACUUCUGCCAUGGAGCCUUGCAACACCAUGAUCCACCUCAGUUCCUUUCCCCAUAUGUCCCAAAUUCUUGUGGUUUUUCCUUUCCCUGUUUCCUCAUUGGUUGUGGUAUCUCUGGUGGCCAGCCCUGUCUUCCCUGUAGGCCAAUGCCAUCAGACCACUGGCCUCUGACCCCUACUUAACCUUGUGCAGAGCACAGGGCCAGGUCUUUGUCCCUGAUCCCUUUGGCAUGGUGGAUGUAAUAAACCUUCGCUGGAAUACAUCAUAAACAGACCCUUCCUGUCUUUCCUCCGCUGAGCUAUGUGUGUGAGUGGAUUUGAAAUGGCUGUUCUUGUGGCCUCACUCAGAGCAGCUUCUGAAGGAGACGCUUCAAAGAAGGCUGCAGCAUUUCUACCACCCUGCCACGUGGCAACAAAAACCUGCUGUGUGGUUCCCGAAGCUCUAGUGAUCUGUUGUUGUGUGAAUGUAGCAGUGAAACCAUGUUCUGUAAGGCCUGAAUUCUGGAGUCAGUCCGUGUCCAGUGCUGCACCCAGGGGCACCAGCCUGUGCCGCACACGCUGCUGCAGCCAGAGGCCGCGCGGGCUCUUCUCCAGGCUCCCGUGGGCCCCAGCCGGGUGCCGAUGGAGCCCCGGCCCGGCGGGGCUGCGGGGCGGCACCGCGGCUCCCCGGGCAGCAGCCGGCCCUCUGCCCCCUCCAGAGCCCGGCGCCAGCGGCUGCUGGCCGGGCCUCAGGGCUGUGCGGGCAGGGGAGGCCGGGGCUGGGCUGGCGGCCAGCCCGGGCCCUCGUGGCUGCCCAGGCCACAGCGCCGUGACCGAGGGCCCCCUGACACCGUGGGGAGGGCGGCCGUGUCUCCUCGAGCAGGGCUGUGGAGGUGCUGCUGUCCCGGCGGCUCUGGAUCCCACAGAAACAGCACCGGAACGCGCACGAGAACAGCAAGUCUGCGAGCACUUCCCCUGGCUGCUCCUUUAGUGUGUUCACAACACACUGAGAGACACAGAACACCACCUCCUUCUCCUCUAAGAGUUAUCCCUUUCCUCUGCAUUUCCCAAUGCACCAGUUAUUAGCUGCUGGCUUGAGCUAGACACACAAACAGUGCUGCAUUAAACUUUGAACUUGGCUGUUUUUCUG